rnacentral:rRNA from 1 species
GAUGAACGCUGGCGGCGUGCCUAAUACAUGCAAGUCGAGCGAACAGACGAGGAGCUUGCUCCUCUGACGUUAGCGGCGGACGGGUGAGUAAAACGUGGAUAACCUACCUAUAAGACUGGGAUAACUUCGGGAAGCCGGAGCUAAUACCGGAUAAUAUAUUGAACCGCAUGGUUCAAUAGUGAAAGACGGUUUUGCUGUCACUUAUAGAUGGAUCCGCGCCGCAUUAGCUAGUUGGUAAGGUAACGGCUUACCAAGGCGACGAUGCGUAGCCGACCUGAGAGGGUGAUCGGCCACACUGGAACUGAGACACGGUCCAGACUCCUACGGGAGGCAGCAGUAGGGAAUCUUCCGCAAUGGGCGAAAGCCUGACGGAGCAACGCCGCGUGAGUGAUGAAGGUCUUCGGAUCGUAAAACUCUGUUAUUAGGGAAGAACAAAUGUGUAAGUAACUAUGCACGUCUUGACGGUACCUAAUCAGAAAGCCACGGCUAACUACGUG